rnacentral:rRNA from 1 species
AGUCGAGCGGUAGAGAGAAGCUUGCUUCUCUUGAGAGCGGCGGACGGGUGAGUAAUGCCUAGGAAUCUGCCUGGUAGUGGGGGUAACGCUCGGAAACGGACGCUAAUACCGCAUACGUCCUACGGGAGAAAGCAGGGGACCUUCGGGCCUUGCGCUAUCAGAUGAGCCUAGGUCGGAUUAGCUAGUUGGUGAGGUAAUGGCUCACCAAGGCGACGAUCCGUAACUGGUCUGAGAGGAUGAUCAGUCACACUGGAACUGAGACACGGUCCAGACUCCUACGGGAGGCAGCAGUGGGGAAUAUUGGACAAUGGGCGAAAGCCUGAUCCAGCCAUGCCGCGUGUGUGAAGAAGGUCUUCGGAUUGUAAAGCACUUUAAGUUGGGAGGAAGGGCAGUAACCUAAUACGUUAUUGUUUUGACGUUACCGACAGAAUAAGCACCGGCUAACUCUGUGCCAGCAGCCGCGGUAAUACAGAGGGUGCAAGCGUUAAUCGGAAUUACUGGGCGUAAAGCGCGCGUAGGUGGUUUGUUAAGUUGAAUGUGAAAUCCCCGGGCUCAACCUGGGAACUGCAUCCAAAACUGGCAAGCUAGAGUAGGGCAGAGGGUGGUGGAAUUUCCUGUGUAGCGGUGAAAUGCGUAGAUAUAGGAAGGAACACCAGUGGCGAAGGCGACCACCUGGGCUCAUA